rnacentral:rRNA from 1 species
ACGGAAGGCAGCAGUGAGGAAUAUUGGUCAAUGGGCGGAAGCCUGAACCAGCCAAGUCGCGUGAAGGAUGAAGGUAUUAUGUAUUGUAAACUUCUUUAGCAGCAGAGUAAUAAGGAGGUCGUGACCUCCGAUGCAAGUAUGCUGAAAAUAAGGAUCGGCUAACUCCGUGCCAGCAGCCGCGGUAAUACGGAGGAUCCGAGCGUUAUCCGGAUUUAUUGGGUUUAAAGGGUGCGCAGGCGGCCCUGUAAGUCAGCGGUUAAAUCGGGGGGCUCAACCUCAUCCCGCCGUUGAUACUGCAGGGCUUGAUUGCGGUCGAGGUUGGCGGAAUUCGUCGUGUAGCGGUGAAAUGCAUAGAUAUGACGAAGAACACCGAUUGCGUAGGCAGCUGACCAGACCGUAAAUGACGCUCAUGCACGAAAGUGCGGGGAUCGAACAGGAUUAGAUACCCUGGUA